rnacentral:rRNA from 1 species
CAGUCGCCGCGGUAAUACAGAGGGUGCGAGCGUUAAUCGGAUUUACUGGGCGUAAAGCGUGCGUAGGCGGCUUUUUAAGUCGGAUGUAAAAUCCCUGAGCUUAACUUAGGAAUUGCAUUCGAUACUGGGAAGCUAGAGUAUGGGAGAGGAUGGUAGAAUUCCAGGUGUAGCGGUGAAAUGCGUAGAGAUCUGGAGGAAUACCGAUGGCGAAGGCAGCCAUCUGGCCUAAUACUGACGCUGAGGUACGAAAGCAUGGGGAGCAAACAGGAUUAGAUACCCGCGUAGUCCCUGUCUCUUAUAC